CACGUAGGAGGCGAACGUUAUCCGGAUUUACUGGGCGUAAAGCGCGUGUAGGUGGUUCGGUAAGUAGGGCGUGAAAGCUCCCGGCUCAACUGGGAGAGGCCGUUCUAAACUGCCGAGCUAGAGGAUGGUAGAGGGAGGUGGAAUUCCGAGUGUAGCGGUGGAAUGCGCAGAUAUUCGGAGGAACACCAGUGGCGAAGGCGGCCUCCUGGACCAUUCCUGACACUCAGACGCGAAAGCUAGGGUAGCAAACGGGAUUAGAGACC
rnacentral:rRNA from 1 species